rnacentral:lncRNA from 10 species
CCAGGGCAACAGGGCCGCCCUCCCGCCUCGCUGAAGCCCGCGAGCGCCCCGCACAGCCGCCCUCCCUGCCCGCGCCUGCGCACCGGCUGCUGGGCGGGAACUGGUCGCGUCCGGACGCGCGACAGCUUCCACCCGCCUCAGGCAGUAUCAGCCGCGCCGCAGUCGGAGGAAAUAGACGCGGGGCCUGAGGCUCCUGGACUUGAGAGGCUGCAGAAAAGGCCCAGGAGGCUGUUGAUGACAUGAACGACCACCAGGAGAAGCUGGAGCAGGCUGAUGCACAGAAGGGCGGAGAAGAGGGACACGUGCCAGACAACAGCUGCAGAGGGCUCCAGGCAGACGGAGUUCCAGAGCGAACGGUCAUACAGAUAAUUCCUAUCCCAAAAAAUAAGGAGACCAGGGGUCAGGCGAUAAGUAAGGAAAGCCAAACAGGCAACCCCAGUAGAAAACUGGGGUCUCCCCUGACCGGGUCAUGGGACUGGGCUCAUGAGGGUGACCGUUACUGCUCCAUUUGCAAUUUUCUGAGUAUCAGAGGAGCAAGAUGCUAGGAUGUGUGACCCAAAGGAGCUUGUAGUUCGUCUGUGUGUCUUUUUGUCUCUCUCUCUCUCUCUGUCUGAAAAGACCAAGCCCAAGCCUCCACCCAUUUACCUACUAUGCAGGUCUUUGAAUGGGUAACCAUAUUUCCAAGCUUGUGUCUGAUUGAAGGAUGAAACAUCAAACAUGCAAAAAGGACCAUCUUUCAGAGCAACUCCAGAAGUGACAAAGCAAAUCAGGGCUCCAAGUAAAGCCAGGCCACCUGACAACAGAGCAGUAAGCACCUGCGGAGGGAGGAGAAACACUGAGCUAAGACGGGGUCGCAGCUGGGGAGCCUGCGGAGGGAGGAGAAACGCUGAGCUAAGACGGGGUCGCAGCUGGGGAGUCUGUGGGGCGGUCUGCACAGGUCUGACUUCUCUGGUCUCAGUGUUCUUCCGUCCUGUCAUGGGGGAGAAUUCUGUCCAUGGCACCCCCUUUGAAGCAUAACCCAUGGUGGGGAGGCCGUGAGGGGUUUCUAGGAGAGAAAGGACCAAGAAGCAGAAUCGCAGGCCCCGGAUCUCCCUGACCGUGAGUUCGCCUGAGCUGCUCAGCAGCUUGGCAUCACAAACCUUUUGCACAUUACAGCCAUUCAGCCUCUGAGCUAAAGAAGAAGCUACCACAGGCCCACCACUGACUCUUCUAAGGAAAAGCUGCAUUUUCAAAAGUUCCAGGUUCCCAACUCUGAUUCUUCUCUAUUUCAAAUCAAGGAUAAAAAAAAGGAAGGGAGGGAAGGAAGGAAAGAAAGAAGCAGGAAAGAAGGGAAGGAGAGAAGUGGGAGGGAGGGAAAGAAGGGAGAGAAACAGCGAGAGAGAAGCUGCAGCCAAGCUCUGAAAUGACUCCACUUCUGUCGCUGUGUUUCUCCAGCUGAGAGCUUUCUUGGCCAUCAGUCUGUGCUCCCACUGCCCUCCCAGAAAAUAACUGGGUUUCCUUCCUUGACAGGUUUCUAGCCUGCUUCUACAUUGGCUUCUUUCUCGUUCCUUCCUUCCUUCCCUUCCUUCCUUCUUUCUCUCUCUCUCUUUCUUUUUGAGACAGAGUCUCACUCUGUCGCCCAGGCUGGAGUGCAGUGGCACGAUCUCAGCUCACUGCAACCUCUGCCUCUGAGUUCAAGCGAUUCUCCUGCCUCAGCCUCCCAAGUAGCUGGGACUACAAGCAUGCGCCACCACACCCAGCUAAUUUUUGUAUUUUUAGUAGAAAUGGGGUUUCACUGUGUUGGUCAUGCCGGUCUCAAUCUCCUGACCUUGUGAUCCACCUGCUUCAGCCUCCCAAAGUGCUGGGAUUACAGGCAUGAGCCACCGUGCCCGGCCCAUAUUGGAUUCUUUCUUAGGGUUCUAGAUUUUUUUCUCCCUCCCCCAAAAAUGCCUAUUUUAAAAAUGUGAAUAACACCUACAUAGCGUUUUUCUGCAGAGUCAUGGAGUCAUUCUCCCACUGAGGUCAAGCUGGUUUGGAGUUGGGGAGGGAUCAGACAAAGGUGCAUAGUAAGUUUUGACUCUGAGUUAAAGGAGUCAAGAUGAAUCAGUAAGCCUAGGGCAGUGGUUCCCAAAAUGGGGUCCCUGCCCAGCCGCAUCACAUCACCUGAGAACCUGUUAGAAAUGCAAAACUUCCCCGCCAUCCUGAAUCAGAAACUCUGGGGAGGGAGCCCAGCAAUCCGUGUUCCGGCAAAAGCCCUCCAGAUGAAAGCCUGAAACUGGAAAGAUGAAGCAACUUGCCCAAGAACUUAGCGUUACUGAGGGUCACAGUGAGGACCUGACUUCAGGCCCCAAGACCAAAAUUGCCUCUUUACCGCCCUGCCUCUAGAGUAAUAGAGGUGGAGACAUUCUGGGUGUUAGAAGAGUGGAAUCUGGUGCUUACGCUUCGACAGAGCCCACUCUUACUGAAGCAGCCGUAUCUCCAGCCCAUCAAGGAGAUGAGGAUAGCUGCAGUGAGUACCUGCAGGAGAGAGAAGAAUGUUGAGAUGGGGAAAUCGACUUUGCCGGCUGUUUCUAGGUGCUGCCCACAGCUGUUAGAGUGGCUGGCAGCUCACAUGAACGCAGUCCUGUUGACUCUGACUCUGGGGACCCACAUUUGUAUGACGAGCCUGAUCUAACGCUGUGGAUGUUAACUUUCACACCCGACCUGCCUGGUCCCAAGCUAGGCUUCCUGUCUCUUAGAGCUUCUACAGACCCAAGAUCAGCUUGUUAGAAUAAACUUUUCUGCAAGGAAUCAAAACACUCUUCCCAUGCCACCUUCCUGCUCCCCGCCGGGGUCUCUUUGAGAGUUCACGUUCAGGGAACCCCGGACACUUACCAUGAGGCCUCCUCCCCAGAGCCCAGUUCCCAGCAUGGCAUGCCUGCCAAGGAGGCCCCUCAACAGGUAGGUGACAUCCCAGUUAGGAAGGAGGAGUGCCACGUUGGCCCCAGCAGCAAACAGGGCUGCAGUCCCAAGGCUCAGUCCCAGGAUACGGGAGCAAGUCCGUGAGCUUGCCUGCGUGCAGGGAGAGGACACCAUCCUGGAACAGAUAGAAAGGGAGUCGCAGCAGCUCUGCUGUGGGGGGAUGGGGAAGGGAACUCCAGCAGCAUAUCAUGGGUGAGGGAAACAGACUACAGAAACCGCCACCUUCCAGGGUCAGACCAAUGAGAGCCAAGCAACCUGCUUAAAAACUCUGCUCCUUAGGAAUCUUCCCCAGUGACUAGGAUUUAAUUGUUUCCUUUUCUGCUAACCCCUGUUCACACAUACAUAGUUUGCAUUCCAUCAUAUUUUGUUUAUGCCUCUAUUACAGCCAGUGAUUAUUUCUGACAAAAAGAAAUGUUUAAAGGUGUCUUCAUGAUGUCCAUUGUCUCCACUUCUAUUCAACGUUGUACUGGUCCUGGCCAGUGCAAUACGAAAAUAAAAGGAAGCAAAAGCCACACAGAUAGGAAAGAAAGAAGUAAUAUUGUCGGCCAGGCAUGGUGGCUCAGGCCUGUAAUCCCAGCACUUUGGGAGGCUGAGGCAGGCGGAUCACGAGGUCAGGAGUUCAAGACCAGCCUGGCCAACAUGGUGAAACCCCGUCUCUACUAAAAAUACAAAAAUUAGCUGGGCACGGUGGUGGGUGCCUGUAAUCCCAGCUACUGGGGAGACUGAGGCAGGAGAAUUGCUUGAACCCGGGAGGCAGAGGUUGCAGUGAGCUGAGAUCAUGCCACUGCACUCCAGCCUGGGUGACACAGCAAGACUCCAUCUUAAAAAAAAAAAAAAGUAACAUUGUUAUUAUUCACAGAUAAUGUGAUCACAUUAUGUAGAAAAUCCUAAAGUUUAUUAGAAUUAACAGGUGAGUUUAGCAACGUCAUAGAAUAAAAGAUUAAUAUACAAAAAUUAUAUUGUAUUUCUAUAUACAAGCAAUGACAAAUUGAGGAUUGAAAUUAAAAUAUAUCAUUUACAAUAGCAUAAAAAUAUAAUACAUAUGGAUGAAUUUAACAAAAUAUUUGCAAGACCUAUAUAGUAAGAAUUGCAAAGCAUUGCUGAGAAAAUUAAUGGAGACCUAAAUAAAUGGAGACAUAUACCAUGUUCCUGAACCAGAAGACUCAAAAUAGUUAACAUGUUCUCCCUAAAUUGAUGCAAAGAUUUAAAGCAAUAUCAGUCAAAAUCCUAGGAGAGUUUUGUUAUAGAAAUUGACAAACUGAAUCUAAAUUUAUAUGGAAAUGCAAAGCAAUUGUGAAGAUUAGCCAAAGCAAUUCUGAAAAACAAACAAAGCUGGAGAACUUACGCCAUGUGAUUUCAAGACUUACAAAGCUACAGUAAUUGAAGACACUGAAGCCACGCGUAAGGAAACACAUAUGGACUACUGGAACAGGCUGGAGCUCAGAAACAGACCCGGUCCAGGAAAAAUGAUUUUUUUUUUUUCUUGAGACGGAGUCUCGCUCUGUUGCUCAGGCUGGAGUGCAGUGGCGCGAUCUCA